rfam:Triticum urartu cultivar G1812 contig374504, whole genome shotgun sequence.
CAAAUACUCCCUCCGUCUGGAAAUACUUGUCAUCAAAAUGGAUAAAAGGAAAUGUAUCUAGACGUAUUUUAGUUUUAGAUACAUCUCUUUUUAUCCAUUUUGAUGACAAGUAUUUUUGGACGGAGGGAGUAGAAA